CGUUGCUAAGCAGUAAGCGUCCGCCAUUUCCAGCCUCUGCUUAAGACCGCAAGAGUGACGUUUCGGGUGCAAGUUGUUUUUCUGGGGGCGUAAUAUUUUGGAGGCACAGCUGGGAUUGCUCCUUGAAUGUCUGGUGCCCACAACCUGGCAGCCAAAUCUCCCACAAUACAACCCAGGCAGGUGGUAGCGAGGAAAGUGUUGCUGUUUGAGGAGAGCUAGAAGCUGGUGGUUGAGUACACGUCACCUGAGGCCAGUCAGAGAUCAUCAGGGACAUUAAAGGCCAUCCAGUUCAGAGUCAACUCCUGCACAGUAAAGGUUUCUCCUGCCCUGUCGACAUGAUGACAGCCUUGGAAUAGCUACAGGGAGAGGUUGUAGGAGAACUUCAUAGCCUGACUAGAGAACAUUUGCUUGGAGUUUGUGAUUUUCUUAACAUAUCAGAUGAGCGAAGAGAACAUGUUGAAGGAAAGUCCCACAUAUCACUGGUGAUUCAUGUAAUGAAAUACCUGGAAAGAGAAGAAGUGGCAGAGUUAGAUGAUGGCAUGUCAGAAUUGUUGCUACUGAAAGACAAAAUUGCAGGUUUGGCCACAGGCAAGCAUAACAGAGCAGCACAAACUGAGGAGAAUGUGGAAAGGGCAGGGACACAGAGUGAAAUAGAGGAACAAAGAACUGUAAAGCAACGUAAACUGAGACGUAAACGAAACUGAGCAGUCCAACGCUGUUAAUGAUGCUGGUUAGGAGUCUCAGUGCCAGUCCCAACCUACUGUUAGCCCAUCAGUCAGCAUGCAGCCCUUGGUCAGUGCUCAGCUGCUGCAGCCAAGCCCAUGCUGGUGCAAAGAUUUCAAAAUCUCAGGUCAAAUUGACGUUUUCCAGCCUUGCUCAACAGAUUGAGAAUGGACUGAACAGAGGUUAUCCUGAAAUAGAAAUAGUAGAUGCUGUAAUUAGAGUUAUAUUCCCAGGCUCACAGUUAUGCAACUAUUUGGAAGGAAAACCCCACUCUCCCUACGCUCCGAUGCAUCCUGCGCUCCCACUUCCAAGAAAAGAGCGCCACAGAGCUCUACAAGCAGCUAGCUUCUGAAGCACAGAACAGCAAAGACACUCCUCAGACUUUCCUCAUGCAAGUUUUAGAUUUGAGGCAGAAAGUACUGUUUGCUUCCCAAGAGUCUGAUUCAGUGCUUAAGUAUGAUCCAGCUUUAGUCCAGCACAUGUGCUUACACACAUUACUUACUGGUCUCCAGAAUGAAAGUAUCAGGAUAGACAUGAAGCCUCUCCUAUUAGAUACUGAGACUUCAGAUGAGCCUCUGCUAGAGAGGUUAAACAUUGCCUGUGCUAAUGAGACUGAAAGGAGAAACAAAAGGAAGUUUAGCAACCCACAGCCAGCCAUGAGUGUAAAUGUAGUGCAGUCAGAAGAUAGGCCACUUGCCAAGUGCUCUGUGAAGGAAACCAAAACAAGGAUUUCCCCAGAACUGUUAACAGAGAUACAAGAGCUUAAGACAGGUGUAGCUUUUUUGAAAGUUCUCGGUUCAGAGAUGGCCCAGAUUAAAGAAACUCUAUAGCAGACUAGGUUUUAGCCACAGUCCUAUGCCCCACCUGCAGUUAGGCCAGAUAGGGACUCUCAGCCAUCUGUUUCACCGCAGCAGUCUUACAGAGACUACAGCCAGCCUCAAACACCUGCUCCAAUGCAGCCACAGUAUGGACCUAAUCAGUACACUAACCACUCUGUCCAUGCUCCAUGGAGAUGUUUUGUUUGCCAGCAGACAGGAGCGAAUGAACGCUGCAUGCACUGCUACUGAUGUGGAAGUGGAGAACAUUUUCAGGCUGGAUGCAAAAUCAGAGGAAUCAGACCGUCCAGGGAACCUCCUUUUAAACAGGGAAUGGUUACCACCAAUGGAUGGGUGCUAAUCGUGAAUAGCAAAGAGUCCCAGAAAUGUGUAAAUUGUGGUAGUGCAGACUCACCUGACGAACUGAAACAACACUCAUCCUGUAAAGAGACAUUGAUUGUUUCAAAACAUACCUUACCUCGAGUUAGCCACCCCUGCAAAGUCACCUCGCUAGUUAGCAGGCAGUGUCUUUUUGAAUGUUACCUAAAUGGCCACCACCAGUAAGCUCUAUGGGACACAGAUUCUCAGGUGUCGUAAGUGAUGAAAGAUGGAAAUUGGAAUACUUCCCAACCACAAGGCUGAGAGAUGUUUCAGAGAUCCUUGACUCACAUGAUGACUUGACAUUGACUGUCGCAAAUGGAACUAAAAUGCCGUACUUGGGAUGAAUUGAAACAGUUUUCCGGCUAGCCUCUGAAACUGACUAAGCAGAAGAACUGAUCAUUCCAGUGCUUGUAAUGAAAGGCUGGCACCUGUCUCAUCCCAUCAUAGGCCUCAAUGUUACUGAGCACAUCCUGGAAAAAAAAAUGAAAAGACUAAACAGUAUCACACAGUGAGGAAAGCUUUCCCAAGCCUCUAAAGAAACAAAGUGAGAGCUUUCAUACAUGCUGUUAGCACAGAGCAAGAAGAUGAGUAUGCAUUAAAAACAAAGAAAGAGGAGAUUGCAGUUUCGAAACACAGCAACAUUCAAAUCAACUGUCGUGUAGCUACACAGCCCUUCAAAGAGGACAUGACAUGCUUUUUCAGCCAGACCUGAACCCACAAUGGCCAGAUGGUCUUGAGUUUUAUGACACACUAGUCAGAGUCAGGAAAGGUGUAUUGCCAGUCAUCACAAUUGAUGUUUCUAACCCAACUGACCAUGACAUUGUUUUGCCAGGGCGCACUUGAAUUGGCACAGUACAAACCAUUAUGACAGUCCCGCCCGCCCAGAUAUUUGAGAAAGUUGCAACAUCAGCCACAGUGAGCCACACCAGCACAAAGCCCACAAGUAGUGCCAGUUAACAGUGUGAUCCACUGGUAGAUCUAAGUCACCUUAGUGAGGAUCAGAGACAGGUAGUGAAACAGAUGCUCAGAGAAGAGUGUCAUUCCCUCUCAAGGUCAGACAGUGAUAUCGGUUGUAUUGAAAAGUUGCAAAUGACCAUUUUCUUCAAAAACACUGAACCUGUCAAACGCACAUAUAUAUCAGUGCCUAGCCCCCUGUACCAGGAAAUGAAGGGUUACCUCCACGACCUAAUAGCACAGGGCUGGGUCAGGAAGUCAAACUCCUCAUACUCCUCACCUGUUAUGUGUGUUCGAAAAAAGAUGGCGGCUGUGCAUAGAUUACAGUGACCUGAACAGGAAGACCCAUCCUGAUCGUCAGCCUGUCCUUCAGGUCCAAGACAUCAUGAACAGCUUAGGUGGUAAAUCCUGGUUUUCUCUCCUAGAUCAGGGGAAAGCUUGCCUCCAGGGAUUCAUGUUGGAAGAAAGCAGACCACUGACAGCUUUUCUUACCCCAUGGGGGCUUUAUGAGUGGAUUCGCAUCCCCUUCGGCCUCAUGAAUGCCCCUGUGGCCUUCCAAUGUUUUAUGGAGGAAUGUUUGGAAGGGCUGCGGGAUAACAUCUGCAUUCCUUAUCUGGAUGACACACUAAUUUUCAGUAAAACUUUGGACAACCAUGUGAAUGACAUAUGAAAAGUGCUGCAACGCCUCAGAGAGCACAGCAUCAAACUCAAGCCAAGUAAGUGUGAUCUAUUCAAACCUGAGGUCCGCUAUCUGGACAGAAUAGCAUUUGCAGAGGGCAGUAGGGUUGAUCCAGCCGACUUCAAAGUUGUUAGAGCACUAAAAGACAUCAGACCUCAGACUGUGGGCCAACUCAGGAAAAUGUUUGGUCUACUCACCUCGCACUGGCAGUACAUCAAAGACUUUUCACAAAAAGCCAGCUGUCUAUAUGAGCUCCUAAAAGCAGACACAGAUGAAGCUGUUGAGGUACAGAAAGAGUUCCCUGCAACUUGGUAAUUCACAGCUGUAUCCAUGUCAGUUUCAGCUGAAAGUGAGUCAGCCACUGCAUCUAUCAGCCCCAUACCAAAAGAACAGUUAUGAGAAGUGCAAAUGUCUGUCCUGUGUUAAGAGUGUGAACUGUAAGGUUCUAAGCCAACAGUAAUGGAGUUGAGAGAGUUCAGUCCAAAGACAAAAUGCCUGUCCAGGGAAUGGGAUAAAUUGAUAAUAAAUGAUGAUGGUAUUCUGUACAGAACUACCACUGCCCGUAAGCAACUAGUCUUGCCAGAAAGAUACAAAAGAAAGGUGUUGGAAGAGUUGCACAAUAACAUGGGUCACCAAGGCACUGAUCGCACAGUAUCUCUAGUAAGUGACUGCUUCUUCUGGCCAUAUAUGUGAUCAGACAUAGAGCACUAUGUGACUAAAGCCUGCACUUGUCUAAAACAGAAAAACCCUGCCACAACACGAGCUCCCUUGACAAAUAUUGUGACAACACAGCCAUUUGAAUAGGUAUGUGUUGAUUUCCUCCAUCUUGAACGAUGCAAAGGCAGAUAUGAGUACAUCCUUGUCCUUCUUGAUAAUUUCACACGUUUUGCUCAAGCAUAUGCCACCACAUCAAAGUCAGAGAAAACUACUGCAAACCUCAUCUUCAGUGACUUUGCCCUGAAGUAUGGCUUCCCCUCUUGCAUCCACCAUGACCAAGGGGGAAAAUUCAAGAAUCAGUUGUUCAGUCAGCUACAGAAACUUAGCGGAGUGGCUGGGUCUGGGACAACGCCCUAUAACCCAAUGGGGAACGGUCAAGUGGAACGUAUGAACAGGACAUUGUUACAAAUACUUAAAACACCGACUGAGGCACAGAAAUCAAGCUGGAAGGAGUCCUUGAACAAACUGGUGUAUGCUUAUAACUGUACAUGUUGCGAAGUGACAGGCUAUUCACCAUACUAUCUUCUGUACGGGAGAUCACCCAAUCUUCCAGUCGAUAUGCUAUUUGGACUGCACACAGAGUCCGGUUCCAGUGACCAGCAAGACUAUGUGGAGAAAUGGAAACAAGGUAUGGAGGAAGCAUACAUCAUUGCGAACCGAAACGCUCAAAAGGCUGCUGAAAGGGUAAAAGGUACUAUGACACGAAAGUAAGGAGUACAACCCGGUGAGCAUGUCUUGAUCAAAAACUUGACACCCAGAGGAGGACCAGGUAAACUCCAGAACUACUGGGAGGGCACAGUUCACACAGUAGUGAGACAAAUGGGGUCUAACCCACCAAUUUAUGUAGUGAGACCUGAAAGGGGUAAGGGAUGCUCUAGAGUUCUGCACAGAAACUUGCUAAUGCCCUGUGAUCACUUAAGAGUUAACUAAAAAUGGAAAAAGGACACAGAAAAAGCAACACUAGCCUGCAUCUCAAACCCAGUAGUCUGAUGAGGAUAGUAGGGAUGAGUAUGAAUUCCAUUAUGAGCCACUCUGAGUCCUAACCGUGCCAGCAGAAAGAAAUGAAGCCUUGGGUGAAUCAGGGAUGGCACUUGAACACAGACACCCACCAGCAGAGGACAGAGUUGAAACGCCAGCUCCUGUUGCAUCACAAGCACAGCCUCCUGGGGGAGAUCAGCUGGAGGAGUCAAGCACACCUGCUGAAAAGCUGCCUGGUAAGGAAAUAGACUUACCUGUUGGAAAUUUGCCUGAUGAACACUCACCACUCUCCCUCAUCAAGUGCUGCUGCUGAACCUAAGAAGCCGUACUACCAGCUGCCACAAAGAGAGAGACACCUGCCAAGACGUGUGACCUACGAUCAGCCUGGCAUCCCUUCUUGCUACAGUAUCCAGCCAGCAACUCAGAUGUUACCUGUCUACCAUGCACAAGGACUGGUCCCAUGGCUACUGCCCCUUCAGCCAUACAACUUCCAGCCCCACUUUCAUGUAUGGAUUCUAGUAAACAUAAGCCUACAGACCUGGUUAAGUUUGACUAACACCAUGGACAAUUCAUAGACUGUUCAUACAGACAGUUGCCAUGGACUAUUUAUGGACUGUUUCUAUAAACUUUUGUCAUGGACAAUUUGCAGACUGUGUAUACAGAUCAUUGCCAUGAAAAACUAAUGGACUGUUGAAAAACUGCUUAUAGACAGUUUAGUCACUGGACAUGGACUGUGGCCCUGUGAUUAUGGACUGUUGAGACCGGACUGUGACCUUUGUUUGUGUACCAACUCACAGAAAAUCUUCAUUGUCAAGUUCAUGAGAGAUUAAUAAGAAAAGAGAAAAUUGUUUUUUGUGAUAAGUUAAAAGAAUGAUACACUAAUGGUCCGUACAAGUUUAAAAAGACAGUACAUUUAAAAUGCUGUGAUAAGGUUAAAAAGAUCAAGGGUCAUGAGAAACAAUUUAUAAGAUGUGUUUAAAAGGUUUAAAAAGUAAUAAUUCAUUAUGUUAAAAGGGGUUAAGAUAUUAAAAGGUCUUUAAUUCA